rnacentral:rRNA from 1 species
AAUCAACGCUGGCGGCGUGCCUCAGACAUGCAAGUCGAACGAGAAGUCCCCUUCGGGGGAUGGAUAGUGGCGCACGGGUGAGUAACACGUGGGUAAUUUACCUUUGGGUGGGGAACAACAGCCGGAAACGGCUGCUAAUACCGCAUAAUGCAGCGGCUCCUCAUGGAGACAGUUGUUAAAGCGGGGGAUCGCAAGACCUCGCGCCUGAAGAGAAGCCCGCGGCAGAUAGCUAGUUGGUAAGGUAAUGGCUUACCAAGGCGACGAUCUGUAACCGGCCUGAGAGGGCGGUCGGUCACACUGACACUGACAUACGGGUCAGACUCCUACGGGAGGCAGCAGUCGGGAAUUUUGGGCAAUGGGCGAAAGCCUGACCCAGCAACGCCGCGUGAAGGAUGAAGUUUUCGGAAUGUAAACUUCACAAGAUUGGGAAGAAUAAGUUUUGGAUAAUACCCAAAACGAUGACGGUACCAUUUGUAAGCUCCGGCUAACUCCGUGCCAGCCGCCGCCGUAAG